rnacentral:rRNA from 1 species
CGGACGGCGUGAGUAACGCGUGGGAACGAGUACCCAAACUGAGGGAUAACGCACCGAAAGGUGUGCUAAUACCGCAUAUGAUCUUCGGAUUAAAGCUUCGGCGGUUUGGGAAUGGCCUGCGUACGAUUAGAUAGUUGGUGAGGUAAUGGCGUCACCAAGUCGACGAUCGUUAGAUGGUUUGAGAGGAUGAGUCAUCCAGACUGGGACGUGAGACACGGCCCAGAACUCCUACGGGAGGCAGCAGUAGGGAAUCUUUCACAAUGGGCGAAAGCCUGAUGGAGCAACGCCGCGUGCAGGAUGAAGGCCUUCGGGUUGUAAACUGCUUUUAUAAGCGAGAAAUAUGAUGGUAACUUAUGAAUAAGGAUCGGCUAACUACGUGCCAGCCGCGGC